rfam:Patagioenas fasciata monilis isolate BTP2013 Sc31e1R_56, whole genome shotgun sequence.
AGUUACUAGGCAGUGUAGUUAGCUGAUUGCCAAAAGCACCAAUCACUAGCCACACAGCCAGGUAAAA